GGGUUGUGAGGUUAAGCGACUAAGCGUACACGGUGGAUGCCCUGGCAGUCAGAGGCGAUGAAGGGCGUGCUAAUCUGCGAUAAGCGCCGGUAAGGUGAUAUGAACCGUUAUAACCGGCGAUACCCGAAUGGGGAAACCCAGUGUGAUUCGUCACACUAUCAUUAACUGAAUCCAUAGGUUAAUGAGGCGAACCGGGGGAACUGAAACAUCUAAGUACCCCGAGGAAAAGAAAUCAACCGAGAUUCCCCCAGUAGCGGCGAGCGAACGGGGAGGAGCCCAGAGCCUGAAUCAGCAUGUGUGUUAGUGGAAGCGUCUGGAAAGGCGCGCGAUACAGGGUGACAGCCCCGUACACAAAAGCGCAUGUGUUGUGAGCUCGAUGAGUAGGGCGGGACACGUGGUAUCCUGUCUGAAUAUGGGGGGACCAUCCUCCAAGGCUAAAUACUCCUGACUGACCGAUAGUGAACCAGUACCGUGAGGGAAAGGCGAAAAGAACCCCGGCGAGGGGAGUGAAAAAGAACCUGAAACCGUGUACGUACAAGCAGUGGGAGCACCCUUUGGGGUGUGACUGCGUACCUUUUGUAUAAUGGGUCAGCGACUUAUAUUCUGUAGCAAGGUUAACCGAAUAGGGGAGCCGGAGGGAAACCGAGUCUUAAUUGGGCGUUAAGUUGCAGGGUAUAGACCCGAAACCCGGUGAUCUAGCCAUGGGCAGGUUGAAGGUUGGGUAACACUAACUGGAGGACCGAACCGACUAAUGUUGAAAAAUUAGCGGAUGACCUGUGGCUGGGGGUGAAAGGCCAAUCAAACCGGGAGAUAGCUGGUUCUCCCCGAAAGCUAUUUAGGUAGCGCCUCGUGAACUCAUCUCCGGGGGUAGAGCACUGUUUCGGCUAGGGGGCCAUCCCGGCUUACCAACCCGAUGCAAACUGCGAAUACCGGAGAAUGUUAUCACGGGAGACACACGGCGGGUGCUAACGUCCGUCGUGAAGAGGGAAACAACCCAGACCGCCAGCUAAGGUCCCAAAGUCAUAGUUAAGUGGGAAACGAUGUGGGAAGGCCCAGACAGCCAGGAUGUUGGCUUAGAAGCAGCCAUCAUUUAAAGAAAGCGUAAUAGCUCACUGGUCGAGUCGGCCUGCGCGGAAGAUGUAACGGGGCUAAACCAUGCACCGAAGCUGCGGCAGCGACACUAUGUGUUGUUGGGUAGGGGAGCGUUCUGUAAGCCUGUGAAGGUGUGUCGUGAGGCAUGCUGGAGGUAUCAGAAGUGCGAAUGCUGACAUAAGUAACGAUAAAGCGGGUGAAAAGCCCGCUCGCCGGAAGACCAAGGGUUCCUGUCCAACGUUAAUCGGGGCAGGGUGAGUCGACCCCUAAGGCGAGGCCGAAAGGCGUAGUCGAUGGGAAACGGGUUAAUAUUCCCGUACUUGGUGUUACUGCGAAGGGGGGACGGAGAAGGCUAUGUUGGCCGGGCGACGGUUGUCCCGGUUUAAGCGUGUAGGUGUGUGUUCCAGGUAAAUCCGGUUCACUUUAACACUGAGGCGUGACGACGAGGCACUACGGUGCUGAAGCAACAAAUGCCCUGCUUCCAGGAAAAGCCUCUAAGCAUCAGGUAACAUCAAAUCGUACCCCAAACCGACACAGGUGGUCAGGUAGAGAAUACCAAGGCGCUUGAGAGAACUCGGGUGAAGGAACUAGGCAAAAUGGUGCCGUAACUUCGGGAGAAGGCACGCUGACACGUAGGUGAAGUGAUUUACUCAUGGAGCUGAAGUCAGUCGAAGAUACCAGCUGGCUGCAACUGUUUAUUAAAAACACAGCACUGUGCAAACACGAAAGUGGACGUAUACGGUGUGACGCCUGCCCGGUGCCGGAAGGUUAAUUGAUGGGGUCAGCGCAAGCGAAGCUCCUGAUCGAAGCCCCGGUAAACGGCGGCCGUAACUAUAACGGUCCUAAGGUAGCGAAAUUCCUUGUCGGGUAAGUUCCGACCUGCACGAAUGGCGUAAUGAUGGCCAGGCUGUCUCCACCCGAGACUCAGUGAAAUUGAACUCGCUGUGAAGAUGCAGUGUACCCGCGGCAAGACGGAAAGACCCCGUGAACCUUUACUAUAGCUUGACACUGAACAUUGAGCCUUGAUGUGUAGGAUAGGUGGGAGGCUUUGAAGCGUGGACGCCAGUCUGCGUGGAGCCGACCUUGAAAUACCACCCUUUAAUGUUUGAUGUUCUAACGUGGACCCGUGAUCCGGGUUGCGGACAGUGUCUGGUGGGUAGUUUGACUGGGGCGGUCUCCUCCUAAAGAGUAACGGAGGAGCACGAAGGUUGGCUAAUCCUGGUCGGACAUCAGGAGGUUAGUGCAAUGGCAUAAGCCAGCUUGACUGCGAGCGUGACGGCGCGAGCAGGUGCGAAAGCAGGUCAUAGUGAUCCGGUGGUUCUGAAUGGAAGGGCCAUCGCUCAACGGAUAAAAGGUACUCCGGGGAUAACAGGCUGAUACCGCCCAAGAGUUCAUAUCGACGGCGGUGUUUGGCACCUCGAUGUCGGCUCAUCACAUCCUGGGGCUGAAGUAGGUCCCAAGGGUAUGGCUGUUCGCCAUUUAAAGUGGUACGCGAGCUGGGUUUAGAACGUCGUGAGACAGUUCGGUCCCUAUCUGCCGUGGGCGCUGGAGAACUGAGGGGGGCUGCUCCUAGUACGAGAGGACCGGAGUGGACGCAUCACUGGUGUUCGGGUUGUCAUGCCAAUGGCACUGCCCGGUAGCUAAAUGCGGAAGAGAUAAGUGCUGAAAGCAUCUAAGCACGAAACUUGCCCCGAGAUGAGUUCUCCCUGAGACUUAAAGUCUCCUGAAGGAACGUUGAAGACGACGACGUUGAUAGGCCGGGUGUGUAAGCGCAGCGAUGCGUUGAGCUAACCGGUACUAAUGAACCGUGAGGCUUAACCUUACAACGCCGAAG
rnacentral:rRNA from 1 species